GUGCUAGAGGUGUUAGGGGGUGCCUUUGGGUGCUGUAGGGGCUAUAUGGGACUUGUUUUGGGGUGUUAGAGGUGCUGUGGGGUGCCUUUGGGUGCUGUGUAGGGGCUAUAUGGACCUUGUUUUGGGGUGUUAGAGGUGCUGUGGGGUGCCUUUGGGUGCUGUAGGGGCUAUAUGGACCUUGUUUUGGGGUGUUAGAGGUGUUAGGGGGUGCCUUUGGGUGCUGUGUAGGGGCUAUAUGGACCUUGUUUUGGGGUGCUAGAGGUGCUGUGGGGUGCCUUUGGGUGCUGUGUAGGGGCUAUAUGGGACUUGUUAUUGGGUGCUAGAGGUGCUGUGGGGUGCCUUUGGGUGCUAUAGGGGGCAUAUGGGCCUUGUUAUUGGGUGCUAGAGGU
rnacentral:lncRNA from 1 species